UAUCAACCUUUUACAAGUACAUAUACGUGAAAGCAUGCCAAAAAGCUUAGCAUGGCCUCUGCUCAAGGUUGACAAAUCAAGUUCAUUAAGUGUUCCAUAUUUUC
rnacentral:snRNA from 1 species